CAACUCAAGUACAGGACUUUGUAACAUCACAGUGAAUUGUUCAGGCUGGAAGUUUUCUGUCUGUGAUGGAGGUCAGUGCCCACUGUACCAGGAUUCUCUGUCAGUCUCUGAGGUCAACAUCACCGUCUCCAGUGGUAAUGGAUUCAUCCAGUGUAUCGUCAACAAUCACGUCAGUGCAGAGACCAAAUCACAACGCAUGGAGGACAUAUGUAUUGAUCAGAAGAAGGCGAUAGCUGCAGCAUCACCAGUUGGCACCAUUGUGGGUGGUGUUAGUGGUGGAUUGUUCUUCAUUGUGUUAGUUGGUGUAGGAUGGAUCAUGUCAACCAGAAGACGGUGUAAAUAAGAACUGACAAUGCAGUGAGCGCUCCACCAGGGGAGAGGCUGAACCACAGAACACAGUGGGUCCUGAGGUAACAUCAAUCUACGACCCUGCAGGGAGUCCAGGAGCAGCAGUACCAGCAUAAGCAGCAGGAGGAGAAGAGGGACACCCAGGGGACAAAGAGUACACUUCACCAGAACAGAGGAAAGAACCACAGUUCCCCCAACAGGCAUAGGCAUUUUACAGCACUGUGCAGCGAUCAGCGGUACAAGAUCGCCAUCAAGUGGACAAAGUGUGCGCUGCACCAGAAGAGAUGCCAGGACCACAGAGCCCUUCUGAGGCCGAGCCUAUACCAGUCUUCUACAGUCUUCUACAGCACCGUACAGAAACCAGCUGCAGCACAGCGCCACUCAAAGCGUGGAAUAACUUCAACAAACCAGACAGUGUAUUUCACAAUAGGAGAUACAUCCGUCUCAGAAACCCCCUGAUGUUACAUGUCUGUAGCUGGCAGCCUCCAUGCACUUACCACACAUUCUUUGUUUUGCUAAGUUCUGAGUAUUUUAUAUUGCUCUCUGUUAAUAUUUUGCUGUAUGUUCAUUAGCACAGUAUACAUGAUCCCAAUUUUAGCUUCAAGAUGCUGGCAAUUUGAAAAAGUAGAUUGUGCUGAUUUAUUGGCACAUUAAGCCAUGUCAUUUAAAAACUCAGUGGAUAUUGCUAAAACAAUGACGUCAUAUCUGAAUUCUGCCAUCUUUAUGCAUCUUCUCCAUUACCUGCACGGUGCAUUUCCAUUCAACUGACUUGAGACGUAAUUGGAAAAAAACAUUUUUAUUUUUUAUUUAACGAAAUAGAAUUUCAGUUUAGUUCCUGAAUUGGACCCAAUCAAUCAAUCAUUCAAUGAACCUUUCCAGC